rnacentral:rRNA from 1 species
AUUGAACGCUGGCGGCAUGCCUUACACAUGCAAGUCGAACGGUAACGCGGGGGCAACCCUGGCGACGAGUGGCGAACGGGUGAGUAAUACAUCGGAACGUACCCAGUAGUGGGGGAUAGCUCGGCGAAAGCCGGAUUAAUACCGCAUACGACCUAUGGGUGAAAGCGGGGGAUCGCAAGACCUCGCGCUAUUGGAGCGGCCGAUGUCGGAUUAGCUAGUUGGUGAGGUAAAGGCNCACCAAGGCUACGAUCCGUAGCUGGUCUGAGAGGACGACCAGCCACACUGGGACUGAGACACGGCCCAGACUCCUACGGGAGGCAGCAGUGGGGAAUUUUGGACAAUGGGCGAAAGCCUGAUCCAGCCAUGCCGCGUGUGUGAAGAAGG